rnacentral:lncRNA from 1 species
AUUCAAUUUAACAAGAUAAAGUUUGACUUCCAAAAAGCAUGUGAAGUACUGAAAGGGUAAUCAAACAAAGCCUUUUUCAUAUACAUAAGGAAAAAUAGGAAUAAUUUAAGUAGUUGUUUUGAGAGACUAGAACAAACUCAAACCCAAUAAAUAAUUAGUUUCUUACUCUUAGUAAGAGCAACGCAAGCCAAUUCAGUAACAUUUAUCUCCGCCUGCUUUUUAGUUUUCACUUUAGUUCCUCGGAAAGUAUCACUUCCUACCUCCACAAUUGACACAAAUAUAGGCUUGUGAGGAGGACCUUCUUGCAACGUCUCAUAUAUUGGAUGCUUAAGACCUCUUUUUUGGGGUCAUUGCUUGUAAAAGAUUUUUGUAUGAAACUUUAUCCCGAGGUAAUUAUUAUGCAUUAACGUGAUACAACAACGAAAAAGCAAUAAUGAUAACAAUAUAAAAAUUAAUUGGUUUGGAUACUGACCUCCUGAGUCUCAACAAUA